rnacentral:rRNA from 1 species
AUGAGCCGACAAUGGAUGUACGAUGACCGAUGCUCUCCCGAGUUCAUUAAUGGCGUGCAAACUUUUCUGCUUGCGGCUGAGGCAAACAAGCGGGCGCAUGGUUUUAUGCAUUGUCCAUGUGCUGUCUGUAAGAAUGGUCAAAAUUACUCUAAGUCAAGAACCAUUCACGUCCAUCCGUUUAAGUCCGGUUUCGUGCCCCACUAUAAUGUUUGGACCAAGCACGAAGAAAGAGGGGUUAUGACGGAAGACAAUGAAGAAGAAGAGGACGACAACAGCUAUCCUGGCCAUGGGUUCCCUGAAUACGAUGAUACAACAAUGGGGGAAGAAGCUGAGCCGGCAAUGCGGAAAGAAGCUGAAGAGGAGGCAUCAGAUGAGCCCGUUGAUGAUCUAGGUCGGGCCAUUGUCGAUGCAAAGAGAAACUGCGCAAGUGAUUUGGAGAAGAAGUUGCAGCGCAUGUUAAAGGAUCACAAAAAAUUGUUGUACCCGAAUUGCGUAGGUGACAAGAAAAAGCUGGGCACCACACUGGAAUUGCUGCAAUGGAAGACAGAGAAUGGUGUAUCUGACAAGGGAUUUGGAAAGUUGCUACUAAUGAUAAAGAAUAUGUUUCCAAAGAACAACGAAUUGCCCGAGAGUACGUACGAAGCAAAUAAGGCUAUCUUCCCUCUAGGGUUAGAGGUGCAGAAGAUACAUGCAUGCCCUAAUAAUUGCAUCCUCUAC